AGUAAUUUUAAAGACAUCUCUUAUUGCAGAUGUGAAACUCUUAGUGGCCCUGGUGUGUCAGUACACAUCUAAAUACAUGAUCAGACUGUCAGACCCUGAGUACCUCAACAACAGCUGGUAUAUUGGCAGCUAAAGGCUAAUCUUCAUUUAAGAUACUCUGAUUGCAACUGGAUAUAGUGAAAAGAACUGUUCCAGCAGCUGUUGGAAGGUCUCUGCACGUGGGAACUGUCACCCUGCAGACCUGCCUGGGGGAGCAGGAGGAAGAAUCACAUUUCUCUGCCUGCAGCAUCACUGGAUUAAAGAAGUUCUUAAUGCCCCAAGGCUUGAAACUACCUACCAGAUCGAGUUGUUAUCCUUCACACCUAUGGAAAGUUUCAG